rnacentral:rRNA from 1 species
GUGGGGAAUAUUGGACAAUGGGCGAAAGCCUGAUCCAGCCAUGCCGCGUGUGUGAAGAAGGUCUUCGGAUUGUAAAGCACUUUAAGUUGGGAGGAAGGGCAGUAAGUUAAUACCUUGCUGUUUUGACGUUACCGACAGAAUAAGUACCGGCUAACUUCGUGCCAGCAGCCGCGGUAAUACGAAGGGUGCAAGCGUUAAUCGGAAUUACUGGGCGUAAAGCGCGCGUAGGUGGUUUUGUAAGUUGGAGGUGAAAUCCCCGGGCUCAACCUGGGAACUGCCUCCAAAACUGCAUGACUAGAGUACGGUAGAGGGUAGUGGAAUUUCCUGUGUAGCGGUGAAAUGCGUAGAUAUAGGAAGGAACACCAGUGGCGAAGGCGACUACCUGGACUGAUACUGACACUGAGGUGCGAAAGCGUGGGGAGCAAACAGGAUUAGAAACCCCGGUAGUCC